rnacentral:rRNA from 1 species
AUUGAACGCUGGCGGCAUGCCUUACACAUGCAAGUCGAACGGCAGCAUGGGUGCUUGCACCUGAUGGCGAGUGGCGAACGGGUGAGUAAUGCAUCGGAACGUACCCGGAAGUGGGGGAUAACGUAGCGAAAGUUACGCUAAUACCGCAUAUUCUGUGAGCAGGAAAGCGGGGGAUCGCAAGACCUCGCACUUCCGGAGCGGCCGAUGUCGGAUUAGCUAGUUGGCGGGGUAAAGGCCCACCAAGGCAACGAUCCGUAGCGGGUCUGAGAGGAUGAUCCGCCACACUGGGACUGAGACACGGCCCAGACUCCUACGGGAGGCAGCAGUGGGGAAUUUUGGACAAUGGGGGCAACCCUGAUCCAGCCAUGCCGCGUGAGUGAAGAAGGCCUUCGGGUUGUAAAGCUCUUUCGGCCGGGAAGAAAUCGCACAGGUUAAUACCUUGUGUGGAUGACGGUACCGGAAUAAGAAGCACCGGCUAACUACGUGCCAGCAGCCGCCGUAAAAC